rnacentral:rRNA from 1 species
GAUGAACGCUGGCGGUAUGCCUAACACAUGCAAGUCGUACGAGAGUUUUUAACUCUAGUGGCGGACGGGUGAGUAACACGUGAGAAUUUGCCUUUAGGAGGGGGAUAACAGUUGGAAACGACUGCUAAUACCCCAUAUGCUUUUGAGUGAAACGGAUUUAUCCGCCUAGAGAGAAGCUCGCGGCUGAUUAGCUUGUUGGUAAGGUAAGAGCUUACCAAGGCGACGAUCAGUAUCUGGUUUGAGAGGACGAUCAGACACACUGGAACUGAGACACGGUCCAGACUCCUACGGGAGGCAGCAGUGGGGAAUUUUCCGCAAUGGGCGAAAGCCUGACGGAGCAAUACCGCGUGAGGGAAGACUGCCUAUGGGUUGUAAACCUCUUUUUUCAGGGAGGAAUAAAUGACGUGUACCUGAAGAAUAAGCAUCGGCUAACUCCGUG